rnacentral:lncRNA from 1 species
AGAAGCCACCAGCUGCUGGGGUGUCUGGGCUGUGACUGCUGAGAGUGGAGCCCGAGGCUCUGAGCCUCUCACUUGCUCUCCCCAAGUUGGCUGCUUGGCAGCCUCCAGAUUCAUUGUGAUUAUCCCAGCCCAGUCGCUGAGGAUCAACUUUGUACAAUUCAGAAGACUCAAGUUCACUUACACACACCUACAUAGUGAGUGGCUCAAAACCAUCUAGAAUUCCAGUCCCAAUGGAUAUGACACCAUCUUCUGGCUUCUGAGGACACCAGAUUUUACAAGUGGUACACAGAUAUACAUGCAGGAAGAAAGAAUAUGGCCAGCACCUUGGUCACUUGGGCGCUGAAUCAGGGGACAACCCCAAGGUCCCUAGAGGACUCUCCACAGGAUCUUAUGACCACCGCCUUGAGACUUCCAUGCAUGGAAAGAUGCUGAGCAAUUUCAAGAAAGCUUUGAGGUUGUGGAAACUUUUUGAAGACACAAAAUAGAAACAAUCAGAGACUGUGCAGAUCAUCUGUCACAUCCCACAGGAAAGAAGAACAUUAGCUUUUUCAUGCUGAGUCCAUUAAAUGUUGGUGAUGGUGAUGUUGUUGCUGCUGUUGUUGUUAGAAAGCAAAUAUUGUGUAAAUGAGUACACUGCACACUAACAACACCAAACAUCUAUAAAUCUAGUUUUCCAAAAGCAUUUUUACAUAUGAUUUUUCUGAUUUUCCCUAUAACUUUAUGAGUGGAAAAUCUACCAGAACAAGUUGAAAAUACCCAUCUAACGUAUUUAAAAUUAGUUGUAUCACUUCAUUUUUUUUCUAAAAAACAAAAACAAACAAAAAAAUCUGCAAAAUUCUCCAGAAUGAACAAAUAAAAGCAAAACAAAACAAAACAAAAAAAGAAGAAGAAAGAAAAAAGAAAACAAAAACCCAGUGCUUUCUAUUCCUUGUCAUUACAAAACUCUGAAAGUUGAUUUCACCUUUGUUUUCUACUUGUAAUGAAAAAAAUAAUACUACAUGCUAGUUUUAUAAUAUAAACUAAUUUGCUGAACUCAAAAUAUAUGAUUAUGAUAGUCUAACAGCAAUAGAGGUUUUAAAAUGAUAUUAUUAUUAAAACUGGUAUAAUGGAUACAACAAUUCAUUCAUAGAAUUCUCCAUGAUCAAGUCUGUCACUCAGAAAUCAGGGAGAAAAAAUUGACUUUUGAGAACUCUUCAAGAUUCAUGUUACAACUAGGGAUUCUUUUUUUUAAACAGUCUUAAUUUAUUUCUUAAUGUGAAAAAAAAUCUACUUAUAUGACUUCUGUUGCUAUAUAAUGAUCUUGAAAUGUCAAAACAUUGUCCUGAAAAUACAAUUGUUUUCCUGCAUAUAUCUUUAAAAAUAAUCCCCCUUUCUGUGAUCCUGCCUAACGGUGAUUCCUCUGGUCUCAUCGGUGGGGACAUUUAGGUGAACUGUGUUUCCAUGCUGGAUCUAACGCAGAAUGUGAAGGAUCUGUUCUGCUUAAAUAUUGAGACAACAGAAAUUAAACUGUUGACUCAGCAAUAAUAACAGAGAAAUCAACAGUCCUUUGAUGAGUGAAGGAGAAUGCUUAGCAUCAAGAUCAGUAGUGUGUUCUCCAGAAAGCCAUGCUGCUCUGAGCAUGGUUAAAUAAAACAUGAGAGAUUAAUCGAAAAUGGUACAGAAGUAGGUCCUAGGGUUUUAACCUCUUGUAAUAGUGCUACUCCUACAUUAAAUUGAUCAAUCGAUAUGAACAAUAUUUUCAGCCCAUUAAAUUAAGAUUUUAAUACUCUUUCGAUGUAUCAUACAGCUUUUCCAUAUUUAUUCUUGCCCUUUGCACUUUACUAGGAGAGUCUACACGAUUAAUACUCUAAUAUAACUGGAUAAAGUACCAGAGUUUGGGGAUAAAUUUGUUGUUGUUGUUUUCACCCAUUUUUACUUUCCUUUAUCUUCACAGCUCUUCUCCCCACAAAUCCUAUAAAUAACCACCAAAUACUUCAGCAUCUAAGCAAAAUGUUUGUUUUUGUUGAUGAGCUAGCCAGUGAAUACUGCAUUUUAUGUUUUGUG